rnacentral:rRNA from 1 species
AUGGAAGUGGCUUUAGCUAGCGCUGCCUUAAGCAUGAGCUUAAAACUGGCUGCAUCGCCGGCCUUGAAGAAUCUCCUAGCUAAUGCGUCAACGUACCUUGGAGUAGACAUGGCAUGUGAACUCCAUGAACUGGAGACCACUAUCUUGCCGCAGUUCGAGUUGAUGAUUGAAGCAGCAAACAAGGGAAACCACAGGCCCAAGUUGGACAAAUGGCUUCAGGAACUCAAAGAAGCAUUCUACCUGGCUGAAGAGUUGCUGGAAGAGCAUGAGUACAACCUCCUCAAACGCAAAUCAAAGGGGAAGGAUUCCCUGCCGGCCGAUGCCUCCUUCAUCAGCAAAACUUUGAUGAAGCCUCUCCAUGCUGCAUCAAGCAGGCUAUCAAAUCUGAGCUCUGAGAACAGGAAGCUACUUCGCCAGCUAAAUGAACUGAAGGCUACCCUGGCAAAAGCCAAAGUCUUCCAUGAACUGCUACCAGCAGGUUAUAAUGUAGAGAGCUCCACCAUACCAACAGCUAUUGUUCCUGAUACCACAUCACUAGCUCCUUUGAAAGUGAUUGGUCAUGACAAGGACUGUGACCAUAUAAUAAAUUGUCUUACCAAGAUAGCCGCUACAGCUAAGUCUAGUACAACUAUGUACUCGGGUUUGGCCAUUGUUGGAGCUGGAGGCAUGGGGAAGUCUACACUAGCACAACUUGUCUACAGUGACAAAAGGGUAAAAGAAUGUUUUGAUGUGAGAAUGUGGCUAAGCAUCUCACGCAAACUUGAUGUGCGCCGUCAUACACGUGAGAUCAUCGAGUCUGCCUCUCAGGGGGGAUGCCCACAUAUUGAUAACCUUGAUACUCUACAGCGUAAGUUGAUCGACAUACGGCAAGAAUCAAAGAAAUUUCUACUCGUGUUGGAUGAUGUUUGGUUUGAACCUGGCAGUGAGAGGGAAUGGGACCAACUGUUAGCUCCUCUAGUUUCUCGGCGGGAUACAUUUCCAGCUGCUCUUUGCUGUGAAGAAGUGUGCCCAUUGAAAAACAUGGAAGAUGCUCAGUUCUUGGCACUCUUCAAACACCAUGCAUUCUCUGGGCCAAAUAUUGGGAAUCCACAGCUGCGUAGAAGGUUGGAAGAUUUUUCAGAGAAAAUUGCCCCUCUGCAGCGAGCCAUGUCUGCAGGUCGCUCUCAGCACACGGCUACCUCGAGCAUGCGGCGCCGGCAGGAGGCCGAGCGCGCCGUGGCAGAGGAGCGUGAGCGAGCGGCUAUAGCAGCAGCUGCUGCGGCGGCAAGGGUGUCGAGGCUGGCUGCAGCGGAGCUGGCAGCAGCCAGAGCGGAGGUAGAAGCAGCCAGGGCAGAGGUAGAAGCAGCAGCAGCAGCAGAAGCAGCCCGUGAGGCUACGGCGGAUGCCAAGGCACUCCGCGGCGGCCCCGGCAGCUCCAGCAGCUCCGCGCCUGCGGACGACGGCGCCGACGCAGAUCGCGCCAAAGUGGCGCAGGAGCGGACGGCGCAGUGGGCAGCCGAGCACGCCCGCGCUCCAGGUGGAGGCGCGCACCGCGACGGCGGCUACAACGACCAGGACCGCGGCCUCUACGAGGUCCGGACUGUGGUCAGGGAUGUUGGUCCCACCUUGGUGACAGGAAGAAGGGGGAGCCUUCUUCCACGACGAGCGGCCGCAAGCGUGGAAAGCAGCGUAAGACACGAAGAGGCCCCCCGGGCAGGGCACAAGGACGUGCCGAAGGUGACGCCCGCGGAGGCGCCAAGGACGGCGCCGCUGGCAAGCCCAAGCAGGCACAAGACAAUAGUUGCCACAACUAUGGCCGGUUUGGCCAUUGGGCCAAUGAGUGUCGGCAACCACGACAAGGCCAGGCUCACAUCGCACAGGCGAAGGAGGAAGAGACGGCUCUGUUCAUGGCGCAUGCAAGCAUUGAGCUAUCCUUAG